GCGACGCUGGGCGGCGUGCCUACCAUGCAUGUCAAGGAAGCGGCUUCGGCCGGGAGYACUUGGCGCAGGGUGAGUAAUGUAUAGGUAAUCUGCCCUUUGGACUGGGAUAACCCCGAGAAAUCGGGGACAAUACCAGAUGAUGCAGCGGAACCGCAUGGUUAUGUUGUUAAAGAUUUAUCGCCAAAGGAUGAACCUAUAUCCCAUCAGGUAGUUGGUAAGGUAACGGCUUACCAAGCCUACGACGGGUAGCUGGUCUGAGAGGAUGAUCAGCCACAUUGGAACUGAGACACGGUCCAGACUCCUACGGGAGGCAGCAGUGAGGAAUAUUGCGCAGUGGGCGAAAGCCUGACGCGGCAACGCCGCGUGGAUGAUGAAGUUCUUCGGAAUGUAAAGUCCUUUUGUAGAGGAAGAAUAUCUUGGUUUACCAGGACUGACGGUACUCUACGAAUAAGCCACGGCUAACUACGUG
rnacentral:rRNA from 1 species